UCCGUAAGGUUCCGGAAUUGUGGGUUACAACCUUGGGAUCUGGGGACACUCUGAUGCUCUGGGUUCCGGCACCUGACUUGUGCCCACCCAAACCCCAACCUUGCUAAGAACAGAAAGAUUCCAGGCGUCUUGGGGCAGCGGUGACUCACCGCAGCACCCCCUCCCCUUCGCCUAACUGCCGUCUCCGCCCACCCCCAAACCAUCUCAACAACGCACGGCGGCUCUGGGAGCUUUGCUGGGGGCUAAAGGCGUUCAUCUUCGUCCUCGCAUCCCAAAAGGCUAAGCCUCCCCCCUCCGAGUCUUCAAGCUUGCCUCGCUCCCCACCCGACCCCUCGGUUGAGCAGCGGAGAUAGAUGAGACAUCCAGAUGCGGGACUCGAGCCACUCAUAGCAGCGCGUGGAAGGGGCAGCCAAGAGCCCCGGGUACGUGCCCCAAGACAGAGAGCCAGGUGGAAGCCAUAUUGCCUUUUCCAGCCUAGCCUUGGAAGUCAUGCGAGAUCACCUUACCUCAUUCUGCUCAUUAGAAGCAAGUCACUAAGUCUUGUCUGCAUCCACGGGAAGGAAAACUAGAAUCUUCUUUUGGAAGGGAGGAGUAUGAGAGAACUUGCAAUAUAUUUGAAAACCUUCAGGCAUCGACAUCAUGUGGCCAUAUUUCAUUUAAAAAUGUUCAUCUGCAUGAUUCAGUGUAUGCUUUCAUCCCUUUACACAUCUCAUAGGGAAUUCACAGAACCCCAAGAAAAGAAACCACUUUGUUCAUGAGAAGAACGGUGGUGGAGGAGUUCCCAUUCACUAAUCUGCUGUUUGACAGACAUAAAAUGCACGGGCUUUAGAAUUCAAGGAAGUGAGGUCCAGGGCUCACCUUUACCUUCAGGUUACCAGCAACAGGACUUUCUCAUCUACAAAAUGGGAGUAAUGUGGCAUUUACCCCAACAGAACUGUUGUGAGGGUUAAACAAGAGAAUGAAGAUGAGAAGCUCAGAGGUUUAAGAGGACGUGGCUUGUGGAAAGAAGGUCUCCCAGCCUACAAUGUACUCCAUCCCCCUCCAGCCUCAUGAGGAGAGCAAUGCAGUCAUGUCAAGUUACAUCCAUUUCAAAAUCUGCGACCGAAAGAGCUACACUUGCAUUUUGAAAGAAGAUUCUAACGAAGGAUGCAUCUUAAUCUCAGAAUUCUCACAUAGGAGUUCCGUACGGAAGGCCCAUUCUGGAAUGAGUGUGGUGAGGAAGGUAUCUUUCCAGCGUUUCUCAAACCGUACCCAGCAGAUGCCUUGGCAUUAAAUCAGUCUCAUCCCCAAGACCAAGAGUGGUUGGACCUCAAAGAGCCGUUGAGGAAGCUGAGAACAAAGGCAGCUGGAGUUUGACUUUAUCCCACCCAGAUGUCCCCUCUGUGAGCCUCUGGUUAUUCUAUCCUGAACGCGAGGUGAACGUGUAUAAGUCUGGGGUCAUGGCCUAGGAAGCCAAGUUCUUGUGGGACAAUAAAAAUCUGAAUCAACUGCUGGCCCUGCUGGGUCCAUCUGUUAUUGGAAUUAAGUUCCCCAUUUCAUUUCAUUCAAACUGAAGAAACUUUCUGGCAGGGUGUCAGGUUUCAAACAGAAAUGUCAGCCAAGGGCUCAUGAGGCCAAGGUCUGAUCAGAGCAAACUUGAAUCAAUUUAUGCAUUAGGUAAAACUUCAUAGGCAAGUUAGUGGUCUGGCGAGCCUUUCUGUUAAAUAUUCCUCAUGUGCAUGUUCUGGACUAAAAAGCUGCAAGGAGCUGUGUAUAAAAUUAACAUCAGAGGCCAACAUGACUUCUUCUACCCAACGUGAGUGUACAUCUGUAGAUGAAUGUGAAGGGCCCACUAGAGCGAUUUUCUUCCCCAGUAUAAGAGCAGAAAAGAACUUGAACAUAUUCUCAACUCCAAUUUAAACCUUGAUCUCUGACCCAAUCAAAGCUAAACCUAUUAAUAAUAAUAGUAACCUUUAUUGAAUAUUUAGUAUAUGCCAGGCUCUAUGUUAUGUACCUUACAUUUACUGAUAAAUUAAUUCUGUUGAUGAUUCUACAAAGUAAGUUUUAUUAUUUGCUUUAUUUGAUAGAAAAUGAAACAGAGAAGCAGAGGUUUAGAAACAUGCUCUAGCUUACAAACCAGCAGAGACUAGGAUUAAAAGCUGGACAGUUCACCCCUAGAAUCUCUGCCCUUAAUGUUGGUCAGGAACUGGUUGGGUAAUGAACCCAACAUGCAGGAAUCUAAACUGGAUGCUCGUUGCAGGUUUAGUUGUAAUUUCAUACCCUGUACAGCAUUUUUCAGAACUCAGACCCCAUUUUGGUGGCAAAGAUAGGUAAGUCACAUAGUAGAACUUGUUUUUUUCCUUGCAGUUGCUGGUAUAAAGAGAAAGCACUAGGAUAAUUAACUGGAAAAUCCAGUCUCCAAAUGCUUUUGUUUUGUAUCAAUACACUAGACAGGUCAAGAUUCUGCUUAUCCCCUAGGAUGUUGAAGAAAUGGUUAAAUCAUUUCUUUACUCCCUUAGCAUUUGGGCAGAGAUAUAACCAGGGAUUGUCUGGGAUUCCUACAGUCUGAAGAUGAGAAUAAGGAAUAACAUGGCCAAAGAAGGUGCCCUGUUGGGGGGUUGGCAGGUCUCAUCCACCCACUAAAUUAUUUCCAACUAUACACUUGCUCUUUGCAGCAGGCUUGAAUCAAACCAUAACCUAAUCAACAAAUAUAUGGAAAGAUGCCCAACUCUAGUAAUAGGGAUGGGAACACAAAUUAAAUGACAUUUUUCACAUAUCAUUUUGGGAAAAAUGUCAAAGUUUGAUAAUAUCAAUCAUGGCAAUGUUGAGGGGAAGCAGGUAAGCAUCUGCUGAGGAAAGUAUAAACUGAUGAAAGAUUGCUCAUGACAGUGUGAAUUGGAUGGGCCAUUUUGGAAGUAUUCAAAAUGUACACAACCUGUGAGCCAGUAAGCCCCUUUUACAUAUCUGCCAUCAAGAAACAUUUUUACAUAUUCAUAAGAAUGCUCAUUGCACCAUCAUUCAUGGUAUCAAAAAAUCAGCAAUAGCUGAAAUGUAACAAUCCAUACCAUGGAAUGUUAUACAGCUCAUAAAAAGGUAGAUCUUCUCUAUAUACUGCCAAUAAAAAAUGCUUAAGACAUACUCUUAAUUUUAAAAAUCCACAAAGCAUGGUAUCAUCCAAUGAUAUUAUCACACACACACACAAAACCAAUAUAUUAAAAAAAAGAAAAAAAAGGAAGGGAAAAACACACAUCAAACUCAAAGACUAGAUUACCUCUGGGGAAGCGCCAGGGUUCGAGAGCAGUGGUCAUGGGUACCAUCCAUCAUUCAUUCAUUCAACAGGUAAUGUCAGGCACCUUCCAUGCCAGGCACUGAUGCGGCCUUGUGAUCAAAAAACAGACAAAAAUCCUUGCAACCAUGACAUCUACAUCUUAACAGUAUUGUUUUGUGAGGUAUGUUUAUAGAACAAGAAUGUAUUUAUAUAUUACCUCUGUAAAUAAAAAUAAGUAAAAAUAAAAGCAAA